rnacentral:rRNA from 1 species
CACGUAGGAGCCUAGCGUUAUCCGAAUUUACUGGGCGUAAAGCGCGUGCAGGCGGUUCGAUAAGUUGGGUGUGAAAUCUCCUGGCUCAACUGGGAGAGGUGUCUCAAUACUGUCGAGCUCGAGGAUGGUAGAGGGAGGUGGAAUUCCGGGUGUAGUGGUGAAAUGCGUAGAUAUCCGGAGGAAUACCAGUGGCGAAGGCGGCCUCCUGGACCAUUCCUGACGCUCAGACGCGAAAGCUAGGGGAGCGAACGGG